GCUACGGGUGGCAGCAGGGGGGAAUAUUGGGCAAUGGGCGCAAGCCUGACCCAGCAACGCCGCGUGAAGGAAGAAGGCUUUCGGGUUGUAAACUGCGUUUAAGAGGGAAGAGCAGAAGACGGGACCGCUUGAAUAAGCCACGGCUAACUACGGGCCAGCAGCCGCGGUAAUACGGAGGUGGCAAGCGGUGUCCGGAUUUACUGGGUGUAAAGGGCGUGCAGCCGGGAAGCAAAGUCAGAUGUGAAAUCCCGCGGCUCAACCGCGGAACUGCAUUUGAAACUGUUUUUCUUUAGUACCGGAGAUGUCCUCGGCCUUCCUUGUGUAGCGGUGAACUGCGUCGAUAUCAGG
rnacentral:rRNA from 1 species